rnacentral:rRNA from 1 species
UACGGAGGGGGCCAGCGUUGUUCGGAAUUAUUGGGCGUAAAGGGCGCGUAGGCGGCCUGCUAAGUCGGACGUGAAAUCCCUCGGCUCAACCGAGGAACUGCGUCCGAUACUGGUGGGCUUGAAUCCGGGAGAGGGAUGUGGAAUUCCAGGUGUAGCGGUGAAAUGCGUAGAUAUCUGGAGGAACACCGGUGGCGAAGGCGGCAUCCUGGACCAACACUGACACUGAGGAGCGAAAGCCAGGGGAGCAAACGGG